UACGUAGGGUGCAAGCGUUAAUCGGAAUUACUGGGCGUAAAGCGUGCGCAGGCGGCUUUGCAAGACAGAUGUGAAAUCCCCGGGCUUAACCUGGGAACUGCAUUUGUGACUGCAUGGCUGGAGUGCGGCAGAGGGGGAUGGAAUUCCGCGUGUAGCAGUGAAAUGCGUAGAUAUGUGGAGGAACACCGAUGGCGAAGGCAGCCCCCUGGGCUAACACUGACGCUCAGGCACGAAAGCGUGGGGAGCAAACAGG
rnacentral:rRNA from 1 species